rnacentral:rRNA from 1 species
UACAGAGGGGGCGAGCGUUGUUCGGAAUUACUGGGCGUAAAGGGCGCGUAGGCGGCCCGCUAAGUCGAACGUGAAAUCCCCAGGCUCAACCUGGGAACUGCGUCCGAUACUGGCAGGCUUGAAUCCGGGAGAGGGAUGUGGAAUUCCAGGUGUAGCGGUGAAAUGCGUAGAUAUCUGGAGGAACACCGGUGGCGAAGGCGGCAUCCUGGACCGGUAUUGGACGC